rnacentral:rRNA from 1 species
CGAUGGAUAGGGGUUCUGAGAGGAAGGUCCCCCACAUUGGAACUGAGACACGGUCCAAACUCCUACGGGAGGCAGCAGUGAGGAAUAUUGGUCAAUGGACGAGAGUCUGAACCAGCCAAGUAGCGUGAAGGAUGACUGCCCUAUGGGUUGUAAACUUCUUUUGUACGGGAAUAAAGUGGAGUAUGCAUACUCCUUUGUAUGUACCGUAUGAAUAAGGAUCGGCUAACUCCGUGCCAGCAGCCGCGGUAAUACGGAGGAUCCGAGCGUUAUCCGGAUUUAUUGGGUUUAAAGGGAGCGUAGGCGGGUGCUUAAGUCAGUUGUGAAAGUCUGCGGCUCAACCGUAAAAUUGCAGUUGAUACUGGGCGCCUUGAGUGCAGCAUAGGUAGGCGGAAUUCGUGGUGUAGCGGUGAAAUGCUUAGAUAUCACGAAGAACUCCGAUUGCGAAGGCAGCUUACUGGACUGUAACUGACGCUGAUGCUCGAAAGUGUGGGUAUCAAACAGGAUUAGAUACCCUGGUAGUCCACACAGUAAACGAUGAAUACUCGCUGUUGGCGAUACACAGUCAGCGGCCAAGCGAAAGCAUUAAGUAUUCCACCUGGGGAGUACGCCGGCAACGGUGAAACUCAAAGGAAUUGACGGGGGCCCGCACAAGCGGAGGAACAUGUGGUUUAAUUCGAUGAUACGCGAGGAACCUUACCCGGGCUUAAAUUGCAGCGGAAUGUAGUGGAAACAUUACAGCCUUCGGGCCGCUGUGAAGGUGCUGCAUGGUUGUCGUCAGCUCGUGCCGUGAGGUGUCGGCUUAAGUGCCAUAACGAGCGCAACCCUUAUCUAUAGUUACUAUCAGGUCAUGCUGAGGACUCUAUGGAGACUGCCGUCGUAAGAUGUGAGGAAGGUGGGGAUGACGUCAAAUCAGCACGGCCCUUACGUCCGGGGCUACACACGUGUUACAAUGGGGGGUACAGAAGGCAGCUACCUGGCGACUGGAUGCUAAUCCCUAAAACCUCUCUCAGUUCGGAUUGGAGUCUGCAACCCGACUCCACGAAGCUGGAUUCGCUAGUAAUCGCGCAUCAGCCACGGCGCGGUGAAUACGUUCCCGGGCCU